rnacentral:misc_RNA from 1 species
CUGCGGAAGGAUCAUUAGCGUUGAAUGGUUGUUGCCAUUUCUAUUCAAAUGUGGAUUGGACGUGUGUGGGCUCUCUCUGUGUGUGCGCGCUCGGGGGAGAUUCCGGUCUUCCCCCGCGCUCCACGUUUUUUGUGUUGCGAACUGGAUUCAACGAUGGCUAAAGUCAAAUUACAUAUAACCAAAUACACAACUCUUAGCAAUGGAUAUCUUGGUUCCCACAACGAUGAAGAACGCAGCGAAAUGCGAUACGUAAUGCGAAUUGCAGAAUUCAGUGAAUCAUCGAAUCUUUGAACGCAAGUUGCGCUUUCGAGAGCCCUCGGAAGCAUGCCUCA